rnacentral:misc_RNA from 1 species
UGUGGGAGCGAGCUUGCUCGCGAUAGCGGUUUGUCAGUCACCCUUUGCUGGGACUGAUCCACCGCUAUCGCGAGCAAGCUCGCUCCCACA